CAUUCAGAAUGUGGCAUUUAUUGUGGAUGGAGCGUGUGUUGAGCAGGGCUGCUCUGAGGUGACGUUGCAUUGGGAGGGGUUGUGUGGACCGGGGUGUGGAAGGAGAUUGGUCAGAUUCACGUGCUGUUUGUUGUGAUGGCGUGGUGUGGGCGUGUGACAGGACCGAAUGGACGGGAUGGAGUGUGGAGACGUGGAUUGAAAUAAAAACGUACGGCCAGAGCCUCUGUGUGGAGGACGGCGUUUGCGGAGUAUUUAAUUAUCUGCGAGGAUGUCCAUGCAGUCCGGAGGCAGGCGGUUAUUAAAGGAGUGGAGAUCUGACCGGGAGUAGAGCGGCGGCAUGAUCAGGUGAAGUGGCGCUAGCACGGAGCUAGCUAAUGCUGGGGACCCGGGCAGCAGAGGCCAGGAGCCGGAUGACCGUGGAAGAAGGAGCGGUGUGAGUCCAGGUAAAGCUGCUCAGAAAAGAGUGCCCUGGACAAAGACAGAGACCCAGGCAGUUGAUAAACACAUGAGUCGAUUUAUUACUUCUUGUCUUGUGCCAGGGAAGAGCGACUGCGAGAAAUGUUUAAAGGCAGAACCAAUAGCUCUUAAACAUCGGGAUUGGCAGACCUUAAAGUUUUAUGUUCACAACCGUAUCACAGCAUACAAAAGACAAAUUCAGCGAAAAUAGGAAGGCUGUAUGAUGGACUCAAUUUUGUCCCGACUUUCCUUUUUGUUAAAAAAAUAAAUGUUGCCAAGAUUUGUGUAAAGACUCACACUUUUUAUUUUUCCUAUACUUGAAAUGUGAGAUCUAAGGAUUAUUAUUAUUAUUAUUUCAAUAUUUUGGGAAGUUUACUGGACCACAUUACCAGAAGCGACCCAGGCCUGUUGUGAACUCCUCCACUGUGGAUGCAAAAAGGGGUGCAGUGGACAGUGCAAAUGUGUCAAGGAAGCAAUUCAGUGCACUGCCCUUUGCCACUGUGGUGGACUGUUUUUUCAGAACUAACUCUGCAUUUAGUUGAAAACCUGUAAUAUUACAUAUAUAUUAUGUAACAUGUAUUACUUCACAAAAAUAAAUAUGUUAAUUAUU